CCCUCUGCCCAGGCCACGGAGCCGCCGGCAUUGCGGGCCGACAUCGCCCGGGAACCCUCCGAACGUUCCGCCCUCUCACACGACAGCUCCCGGCGGCAGCCAGCACCCCCAACCUCCACGGGAAAUAGCCACGAGACCCUUUAACAUUACUGGAUGUAAACUUGGAGCAAGUAAAUGAGCAGGCAUAAAUUGUAGUCCAACUCCAAGAGGUAGUUGCUCAUGGACAAUAUGGCAUUUUGAUGCAUUUACUGGGUACAUAUUUCAAAAUGAAUUCAUCGUGUGUAAAGUGCUUUGGUGGACCCAGAGGAUAUUCUGUAAAGGUGGACAAAAAUGCUGGAGAAACUCAGCGGGUGAGGCAGCAUCUAUGGAGCGAAGGAAAUAUGCAUCGUUUCGGGUCUAAAACCUUCUUCUGACAGGAUGUUCUGUAAAUGCAAGUUUUUAACUAAAAACUUUAUUAGAAUAUACUGCCAACCUUUAGUAAGAAAUACAACAACGUAUCUUGUGCUUGAUAACUUCUCUUUUUCUUUAAUUUAAGAGACUUUCAAUGACAAUUGGUAUAACAUUCACAUUAUGCACAAUACAAUGCAGAAGAUAGUCCAAGCUGCAACUAUGUUCUUUAUUUCCAGUAUACGUAUCUUGAGAAAGUCAACUGUAUUAGAUUCAAAAACAAAACAAAGUUAAAUUGAUUGUUUCACUUGUCUUCCUCACUGGCACCCACUUGUCCACACGUGACUUUUUUGUGCUUACAGGCCUGUUUUGCUGCUGAAAGUAAGAAUUUCAUGGUUCUGUUGUCGGCACAUAUGACAAUUAAACACUCUUGACUUUCAUAGAGGCAUACGGCAUAGAAUCGAGUCCUUCAGACAAACUCAUCUAUGUCGA